CCAGACUCCUACGGGGGCAGCAGUGGGGAAUAUUGCACAAUGGGGGAAACCCUGAUGCAGCAACGCCGCGUGAGUGAAGAAGUCAUUCGUGAUGUAAAGCUCUAUCAGCAGGGAAGAAAAUGACGGUACCUGAGUAAGAAGCCCCGGCUAACUACGUGCCAGCAGCCGCGGUAAUACGUAGGGGGCAAGCGUUAUCCGGAUUUACUGGGUGUAAAGGGAGCGUAGACGGCAGUGCAAGUCCGGAGUGAAAGCCCGGGGCUCAACCUGGGAACUGCUUUGGAAACUGUAUGGCUAGAGUGCUGGAGAGGUAAGCGGAAUUCCUAGUGUAGCGGUGAAAUGCGUAGAUAUUAGGAGGAACACCAGUGGCGAAGGCGGCUUACUGGACAGUAACUGACGUUGAGGCUCGAAAGCGUGGGGAGCAAACAGGAUUAGAUACCCUCGUAUG
rnacentral:rRNA from 1 species